UAAUGUAUGGGGAUCUGCCCGAUAGAGGGGAAUAACUACUGGAAACGGUGGCUAAUACCGCAUAAUGCCUACGGACCAAAGCAGGGGCUCUUCGGACCUUGCACUAUCGGAUGAACCCAUAUGGGAUUAGCUAGUAGGUGGGGUAAAGGCUCACCUAGGCGACGAUCUCUAGCUGGUCUGAGAGGAUGAUCAGCCACACUGGGACUGAGACACGGCCCAG
rnacentral:rRNA from 1 species